rnacentral:lncRNA from 1 species
UUACUGAUCAUCAUGUAGCAGAGCUGCUUCCCUCUGCCACACUCUCCCACCAUGGUGUUCUGUCUCACUUGGAGUUCUAAGGAAUGGAAGCAACCUUCUAAGGACUAAGACCUCUGAAACUGUGAGCCCCCAAAUAAACUUUUCCUCCUCUAGUGGGUGUUUUAGCCACAGCAGCAAAAAAGCUGACUAAAACAUAAUCCAAACAAUAAAUGGGCAAGUGAACUGAACAGACACUUCUCAAAAGAAAUAUAAAUGGUCAAAAAUUAUAUGAAAUAAUAUUUUGCAUCUUUAGAACUCAAGGUAAUAAAAACUACAUGGAGAUUCCAUCACUCAAAUCAGAAUGGCAAUCAUCAAGAAUACAAAUUACAGUGAAUGCUAGCAAAGAAAAAAGAAUUCUUGUACACUGCCAGUAGGAAUGUAAGUUAGUACUGCCACUAUGGUAAUCAGUGUGGAGGUUCCUCAAGAAACUAAAAAUAUAACUACCAUCUGAUCCAGCAAUGCAUUUCCUUGGUAUUUAUCCAAAAGAAAUACAUGCAUAUUUGCAUUUAUCAGCAUAAAUUCACAAAAGCCUAAUCACAGAAUCAGCCUAUGUGUCCAACCCAACAACAGAUCAAUGAAUAAAGAAAAAAAAUAUAUAUAUAUAUAUAUACACACACACACACAUAAAAAAAAGAAUGAAAUUACAGAGUAUCAUGCUAAGCAAAAUAAACCAGACUCAGAAAGAUAAGUAUUGUGGGUUUUCUCUCAUACAAUAGUAGAAAUUAGCAAAGAAGAAAAGGAAAUAAAGGGAUGUUAUGAAAGAGGAAGGAAG